rnacentral:rRNA from 1 species
ACUAACCCUAGCCUAACCUUACACACAAUUCAAAUAUCAUAAACAAUAAAAAUAAAACAUUCACAUAAAAAAGUAUAGGAGAUAGAAAUUUAUAUAAGCGCUAUAGAGAUAGUACCGUAAGGGAAAGAUGAAAGAACAACAAAAAGUUCAAAAUAGCAUAGAUUACACCUAGUACCUUUUGCAUAAUGGGUUAACUAGAAAACCUUGACAAAAAGAACUUAAGUCAAUAAUCCCGAAACCAAGCGAGCUACUUUUGAACAGCUAAAAUGAGCAAACUCGUCUAUGUGGCAAAAUAGUGAGAAGAUUUAAAAGUAGAGGCGAAAAACCUAUCGAGCUUGGAGAUAGCUGGUUGUCCAAACAAGAAUUUUAGUUCAACUUUAAGUUUUCCUAAAACACUAAAAUUCAAAUGAAAACUUAAAGGUUAACUUAAGGAGGGACAGCUCCUUAAAUAAGGAUACAUCCUUAAGCAAAGGGUAAACAAAUAAGAUAUCAUAGUAGGCCUAAAAGCAGCCAUCAAUUAAGAAAGCGUUCAAGCUCAACAAAAUAUUCAAACUAAUAAAUAUCAAAAAUAUAAAUCAUCCCCUGCUUAAUCAAUUGGACUAAUCUAUAAAAAUAUAGAAGAAAAAAUGUUAACAUCAGUAAUUAGAACUAUUUCUCCCCGCACAAGCCUAAGUUUAACAAUACAAACCAAUUAACAACCCUAUAUAAAUACACCCAACAAGUCAAUUAUUAUUACAACUGUUAACCCAACUCAGGAGUGCAACAAGGAAAGACUAAACUAAGUAAAAGGAACUCGGCAAACAUAAACCCCGCCUGUUUACCAAAAACAUCACCUCUAGCAUAACAAGUAUUAGAGGCACUGCCUGCCCAGUGACAACUCAUGUUCAACGGCCGCGGUAUUCUGACCGUGCAAAGGUAGCAUAAUCAUUUGUUCUUUAAUUGAGGACUAGUAUGAAGGGCUUCACGAGGGUUUAACUGUCUCUUUCUUACAGUCAGUGAAAUUGACCUCCCCGUGAAGAGGCGGGGAUAAAACAAUAAGACGAGAAGACCCUAUGGAGCUUAAAUGUAUUAAUUCAUUUUCUAACAUUCUUACUCAACAAGAAACAAAAAAUGAGCUAUGAAUUAAUAAUUUUGGUUGGGGUGACCUCGGAGAAUAACUAAACCUCCGAAUGAUAUUAACUUAGACCAACAAGUCGCAGUGUUAUCAUAAAUUGACCCAGAAAAACAUCUGAUCAACGGACCAAGUUACCCUAGGGAUAACAGCGCAAUCCUAUUUCAGAGUCCAUAUCGACAAUAGGGUUUACGACCUCGAUGUUGGAUCAGGACUUCCAAAUGGUGCAGCAGCUAUUAAAGGUUCGUUUGUUCAACGAUUAAAGUCCUACGUGAUCUGAGUUCAGACCGGAGCAAUCCAGGUCGGUUUCUAUCUAUUAUAAAUUUCUCCCAGUACGAAAGGACAAGAGAAACAAGGCCAAUGAGUUAAUCACGCCUUAGUAGUUAAAGAAUGAUAUCAUAUUAAUUCUUUAACUACUAAAAACUCACAACCCGAGAGAAGGGUUU